CCAUAUGUCCCACUGGGAAAAUUCAAGCAAGUAAGGCCUUGUUAAAAUAUGCAGACUUAACUUUUAUAGGACAUGCAUGGUAAAGUUAGGCCACAUCGGAGGUGACGUGUUCUUCAGAAGAGAACAAUGGAUAGAGCCAGAGCGAACUGUGGACAGUCUGCAGAGAAAAAUACAAGCAGGGAUUGCCCUCCUCCUCCCUCCGGAAGCCUACGCCAAGAGGAGACUGUUGCCUUCAAAAUAAGAGUAAGCGUGCGACCGUACGCGUUUAAGUCACUGUGGAAUUUAACAUUUAACUUUUUACUUUACACUUAAAUAUGGAGUAGAAUUAAUAUGCGUCAAUGGUACGGAUUUAUAAUUGUGUACUUUGUUGGAUAAACUACACAUGUUUUGUAUUUUGAAGGCCGAAAACCUUUUUCCUCGUUUCCGACCCGUGCUUGACUCCCAAGUCGGGCGCCUGCGUCAGGUGGCUCGUGACGUCAGAUUCAGAUCCAGUGAGCCCUGCGGCCUGUUGUUGGUUCAGGACUUGUUGCCAUCGUCAAUCGCUGGCUUCAUAUAAACAAACAACCAUUCUCGCUCACACCUACAGACAAUACAUUCAUAUUUACUUUCAAAUCCGGUGCACCACAACAUAUGCGUCGAAGUAAUCUCGACUUAAACCCGGUAGAAUAUGCAUUCAUAUUCACCCAUAUGGGAAAUGCAGAGUCUGAAAUAAACCCAACAUGCAUAUUUUUGGAAAUGGGGGGGGGGGGUAUUUUUGCGACAGCCGUGAACCUAGUGAAAUGGAUGGAACUUGAUCCCCGCGGGGAAAAAAAAAACACUGCACAACAA